GAUGAACGCUGGCGGCGUGCCUAAUACAUGCAAGUCGAGCGAACAGAUGAGAAGCUUGCUUCUCUGAUGUUAGCGGCGGACGGGUGAGUAACACGUGGGUAACCUACCUAUAAGACUGGGAUAACUCCGGGAAACCGGGGCUAAUACCGGAUAAUAUUUUGAACCGCAUGGUUCAAUAGUGAAAGACGGUUUCGGCUGUCACUUAUAGAUGGACCCGCGCCGUAUUAGCUAGUUGGUAAGGUAACGGCUUACCAAGGCGACGAUACGUAGCCGACCUGAGAGGGUGAUCGGACACACUGGAACGGGGACACGGUCCAGACUCCUACGGGAGGCAGCAGUAGGGAAUCUUCCGCAAUGGGCGAAAGCCUGACGGAGCAACGCCGCGUGAGUGAUGAAGGUCUUCGGAUCGUAAAACUCUGUUGUUAGGGAAGAACAAAUUUGUUAGUAACUGAACAAGUCUUGACGGUACCUAACCAGAAAGCCACGGCUAACUACGUGCCAGCAGCCGCCGUAA
rnacentral:rRNA from 1 species